rnacentral:lncRNA from 1 species
AACGGCGAAUUAAUAAAUGUGAAUCAAAGAUAAAGAAUCAGAUUGUAUAUGGUUGUGAAUGACGAUUUAAUGACUAGUUUACCAUAUCAUUCAAUUGGAUUUUAGAACUUGGUAUGUAUUUUGUAUAAACUUUAAAGUCAUAUGAAACGAGUGACUGGUGAAAGAUAACGUUUAUCCAAUUCUUGUACCAAUGUAUGUAUAUAUCAUAGACUUUGUCUUCUGUGUUUUUAGGCAAACAUAUCGUAUAAUCGUCAAUUGGUUUUUUUCUGUCUGUUAUGAUUUUUGAAUAUGGCAGCUCAUUUAUUGUUGUGAUUUAAAAAUGUAGUUUACUGAUUGCUAACUUCUAGUAAACAAUCAACAAAGAAACAUGGAUAUUGAGCACGUGUAUAAUAUGUACAAUCAGAUAAUAGUUUAUGUCAGUAAUAGAUCCAUGGUUAUUGCGAUCACCGGACUUUUACCAGAGGGUCACGCUAAAGUCACUAAUUUUAAUUUUAAGCUUUAACCUAGCCUAAAUUGGAGAUUAUAAAAAGAAGAUAGUAUUGGUUGAUCUAAAUAUAUAAGUAUUUUGUCUUUAAUAGAUAGGGGAUGAAUGCUAGCAGUGCUAGUGAUGGUUUUCCUUAAACAAGUUUAAAGAAAAGGAAAUUAGUUGAAACAAGUGUAAAUAUGAUUUUUCAAAGUACAAUGGUUCAGCACAAAGAUUUUCUAAUUGUAAAGGUUAUUGUAAAUUUUUGUUAUAAUGCAAAACUCUGUAUUUUUAUGUUCUUAUCAAAAUAGUUCAAACCGUAGAACUGUCAGCAAAACUGACUAAAUCAGUUCUAACUAUAGGAAUAUCAGCAGAACUGUCUAAAACUGUUCUAGCCGUAGAACUGACCAAACCUCUCAGGAUUGUAGAACAGUUCUACAUGACGUCACUGCAGUUAGAGCAUCUCACUGGUCACCAUUCAGUGUUAUAAUCGAUUUUUUAAUAUAUAUUAUAUUCUUUUGACUUAAUUAUAUUAAAGACAAAGAGUUCUUAUAACUAUUCUAUGGAUAAAACUAAAUCAAUUCUAGACGUAGAACUUACCAUAUCGGUUCUAAUCGUAGAACUGUUCUGGUCGUAGAACUGUUCUAGUCGUAGAACUGUUCUAGCCGUAGAAUUGUUCUGGUCGUAGAACUGUUUUAGCCGUAGAAAUGUUCUGGUCGUAGAACUGACCAAAUUAGUUCUAGGUUAGAAAUGUUCUAGCUAGGACUGUAAAAGGUGUCAGGAUGACAGUUCUACGUAGCCAUAGAACAGUUCUUCUGACAAAUGCUGACAGAUUUGACGAGAGGUUAGAAAUGAUAUUUACUGUAAAGCAUCCCCUUUUUAGCAUAUACAAUAUUUCACUACACACAUUGAAUGGUUUUUUUUAAGUUCAUUUCUAUAUUUUAAUAAGAGAUAGACCAAGGAUUUGUUUAACUGUCUUAUAUCCACAGUUUUGUACAGCUUGAUAUGGCUAUGAAUUGCUCAGAGAUUGAUUUAAAACCAUACAAACCAAUGCUGAUAACAAAAUUAUUAUUUGACAUUAAAAUACACGAGAAAUUGGAAAUGCAAUAUAUAAAAAUUUAGAUAUAAGCUAGAUGAAUUAGCCAUAAUGAUUAUAAUCAAAGGAGAAAGUGGUAAUACAACAGGGACAAAAGCUGAAGAGUGUCGAUAUAUCGUAUAAUAGUUGUAUAGGGAGAUAGAACAUUGCACUUGGAUUUCAAAGAGAUAGUUAUCACAAAAGUGGACAUAUAACACAAUCAGAUUCAUACGACAGGGUGCCGAUUACAUAAUCGAUAAACAUAAGAAUGUUAACUUAAAUGUUUUGUCCAUUUAUUUCUGGGAAAUAAUUUAAAUACCUUGUAGUAACGCACUUGUUUGUUAUCAAAUACAAAUAAUGUCACAGAAACAGACCCUUUGUUUUUACCAUAGCAGUAGCCAAUGUAUAAUUAGGUUUUUAAAUAUAUAUAUAUAUAAAUACGUCUAGGAAAUAGACUUUCGAAAUAAUAAACAUUUAUGUAAACUCAUUGUGCAUAACUUUCUCACAAUAUGAAAUAAGAAAAGGAAAAAAUAUAUUGGAAAAAUUAUACAGAGUAUGACUUCGAAGAUACUGGUUUCAUUUUAAACAUAGUUGACAGUUGACAAUGUAAAGUUAUAACCUUCGAUUUGUGUCUCAUACUCAGCACAGAGAUCAUUUUUUUGGUGAUAAAAAAAUACCAAAGCAGUCACAUAUCAUAUAGUACAUGAUCAACAAGAAUAUCAGACAAAAGAACCAACCGACAUGAUAUGGUACGUUAAUGAUGAUUGUUUUGAGUAAACGAAGCCAGACUGAGUCUUCCAAUGGAGAUGGUGGAUGAUCGUAAGUUCUCAUUUUCGGACUGAUCACCUG